rnacentral:misc_RNA from 1 species
GCACGGGCACACACACACACACACACAAACGUAUGCAUGCAGGCAAGCGUCGCCGACAGCACACCGUUUCUCUUUGGAUCUGGCGCGCUCAGAGGCACAUUGGCGUGCCCUCUAUACGCUUGGCAUGUCUGCCGCGGACACACGCGCCAGAGACGUUACGCACUGGACGCAGCAACCAUUUCAUCGACCAUCUUUUCGCAUUCCGCUAGUGCUGUCCUCGUCAUCGGUCCCCGCACUCUCGGCCGCACCGCGAUCUGCGCCGCCUGCAGCAGUCGUUGAGGCGGCACCGAAAACAGCGCCGCACCACGAGGAUGCACACGAGCAGCCGCGAGAGUGCCACGGCCACUCAUUAGACAGCGGCGUGCACAAUAAUCGCUGUAGAGCAGAGGCUGCGGCGCGUGUCACGAUGAGCGAAGCCCAGCUGCACGAACGGGUGCGUCAACUCGAGGAAGAACUGCGCGCAGCGCACCGUCAGCGGCACCAUCAGAAACGGCAGCAGCAUCAUCAAGGCGACAGAGAGGCAGAUUGCGCAUCGCCAUGGCGUCCUCGAGCUUCUGCCGCUUGUCAAAAGGGCGGCAAUGACAAGAAGAGCAGCGAGGGGGCACCCCACACGGCAACAUCCGCGGGCAUCACAGUGGAUGUGGAGGCGAAAGCAGGCGACAGCGAGGCCCCUGCCAACUUGAUGCGUAAAUCGGAUGCACGUCUGGCUUUGCCCACCGCAGCACUACUGCAGUCUCGGAAGUACCAACCGUCACAGCGUCCUCUGCAACUCCCUCGGCCCCCUCCGCGGCUGUCCCUGGAGCAUCUGCAUCACGACAUUCUACACUGCGCCAGCAACGUAAAACGCUUGAUGGAAAACGAGCACGAACUGCGCCGCGUCGUGCGUGACGUGCUUCUGGAGAGGUUGGGCAUGGAGGGCUCGCACGUGGAGCCGCCGCUGCGGCUAUGCACCGAGGACAAUGCAGAGGUGACGGCAUCGCCAUUUUGUGCAGUAGCAUCGGCGUCGGCGCCGCUCUCUUCGUCCGUCGAGAGCACCGAGCAACUCCGAUGCACUCACGACGCCGGGCCGCGAAGCAUGCGCGCCUCCAAUGUGGAUGACGAUGCCGGCUCAUCACAGCCGACGUGGUUUAUGCCGUGGCUGCAGCACCUGCGAAUGGAGCAGGAGAAACAGCUUCGCCAGAUGCGAGAGAUGCUGGUCGUCGUGCGUCGCUCGCUAUCUCCCGAUAGCUCUGAUGAGGACGCGCGAGCGUCCUCCUUGAUGAGGACUACGGAAGAAGCAAGGGAUGGCACGCGCACAGCAGAGCCACCGCACGCGUUACUGUGGCAGCGACACCGCUGCCUGCUCCCGCCGGACCGCCCCGAAGCGGUCGAGGCGUGCUCGACGCUGCUGGCGAUGCAGGAGAUGUUGCAGACACAAUCGACGCAGCUGGUGCGCUUGGAGAAGCUUUUGCAGGAAACUCUCAUCCCCGACACGGCGCGUCGCACAAGUCACGGUGCGGGCGCCUUGCCGCUCCCGUCGCCGAGCGCGCAUCAAGUAGAAGCAGCAGCAGCAGCCCGUGCCCAUCACACCGUGCACCGAUCUAGGAGCAACGACACCGUCCUUCCUACUCUCACCUAUACUGCCGCCUCUCCCGAAAAGAACGGCCGUCGGGCUGUGCCGUCCUGCAGUGGUUACAACGCGGAUGUGCCGGCGGCGGCAGCAGCAGCGGCGACAUCAUCUCGGGUAUCGACUUGUGUCUCUGCUCCCUCACCACCCCCCGUCUGCACCCCGAAAAACGUACGCCCUGCGGCGGCGUUCACUGAUGGCCACACACACACGCGCAGCCACCAGCAGAAUCAACCGCAGCUGGACGCUAUUCAGCGCGAGAUCGAUGACCUUUGCCACUUUCUCCGAGAAACCCUUACUCAGCAACAGGCACAGCCAACGCCGCAACCACAUAAUCCGCUCAACAAGACCGGAAGCGAUGUUCGUGUGAACGGACAGCCCUCUGCGAGCAUGCGAGAGACCAACUCGCAAUACGCAUCAGCCCAUGCGCUGCAGUGGCAGCCGCAGCAUGAAGCAGACCCUUAUCUCCAAGAAGCAAGGCGCCGUCAGCAGCAUCCGUCGCGCGACGUUUCUCGAUCCCACACCGCCAGCGGCUAUCCUCCAUCCUUCUCCAUGCAUACCGAUGAUUCAAUAUGGAGAACGAAGCGGAAGUGAGCAAGGAGGGGAGGGAUGCGAGUAACGUCGAAGCUGAUGUGGACGUUGACGACAGUAUCCGUGGCGAGCCGAACACGAUACCACCUUCGUUGCUACGGCAGCGUGUGCGAACGAUUCUGACCUCCUUCCUUGUGCACCCGCCAGCGUAAGAAAAGUUCACCUUUCUAGCUUGCUUCUCUCCGACGGAGGCGAGGGGGUGCACAUGCAUGCGCGUGUCGGUCAUUUUCCGUGUGUGGGGUGAUGAUGAAGCCGCCCUGUCAGCCGUCCACUAUAUAUAUAUAUGUGUGUGUGUGUGUGUGUGUGUGUGUGUGUCUGUGUGUAUGUCUGCUUCGGUGUAUGAGUCUCUCUCUCUCUCCACAUGCCGGUGUUGUGGUGUAAUGUCGGAGAUGGCGACGGGGCCGACCUAAAACUGCUUCCAACUCGCCCUCUGCUUCGCUUGCCCGGUGUUCUCUUAGAUCGUAGCUCGCGCACACCUG